GAUGAACGCUGGCGGCGUGCCUAAUACAUGCAAGUCGAGCGAACGGACGAGAAGCUUGCUUCUCUGAUGUUAGCGGCGGACGGGUGAGUAACACGUGGAUAACCUACCUAUAAGACUGGGAUAACUUCGGGAAACCGGAGCUAAUACCGGAUAAUAUUUUGAACCGCAUGGUUCAAAAGUGAAAGACGGUCUUGCUGUCACUUAUAGAUGGAUCCGCGCUGCAUUAGCUAGUUGGUAAGGUAACGGCUUACCAAGGCAACGAUGCAUAGCCGACCUGAGAGGAUGAACAGGCAAAAUGGGAAUGAGACAAGGCCCAGACGACGAAGGGAGGAAGCAGUGGGGAAUAUUGGAAAAAGGGCGAAAGACGAAUCAAGAAAUGCCGCGUGAGUGAUGAAGGAAUUAGGGUUGUAAAGCUCGUUGACCAGGGAUGAGAAGGAAAGGAAAGGGAUAAUAAGAUCAGGAUAAAGCAGGG
rnacentral:rRNA from 1 species